ensembl:lncRNA
GCGCCCGGCUCAGACUCCACUUUACUCGGCAGCCGCCUUUGCUGCGUGGUGGACAGGCUUCCUGCCCCUCCACUUCAUGAUUCGCCAAGUAGCAUGGCAAAACAUUUUUUAAAAAAGAAGGAAGGAGGAGGGAAAAGCUGUUCCGCGCUGCAGAUUGAUUCCCGAGGAAGCGCUGUUGCUCUUGGAGUCAUCCACGCUGGGCACAUGCCUCCGUUUGCCCAGCGCUCUGUGGGCUGCUCCUGCCCGUCCUACGCUUCCUCCGCACCAGGCUCUAUCCCCGCCGGCUCCUCACUGCUUGGGUUCGCCGUCAUCUCAAGCCCUGCACUUCGCUUGAGGGUGGUGGCAGCGAGAGGUGUGUGUGGAAAAAUUAAAGCAGAAAAGUUCCAAAAUGCUGACCUGAGAUUGGAAAGUAACAGGAAUGCGGGCUUUCGAACUGUGCAGACGUCACACGGUCUCCUUGGUCAUGCAUAUCUCGUCAUUAUCAAACACUGGGAGCCAGAUUCUUCAGACAUUACCGCAGAGUUCAUGUAAGAUUGCUGACUGAGAUCAUAAUACGGUAAUUAGAUGGAAUUAAAGUUAAAAUGGAAAGAAAAUGAAUCGAGAAGUAAAAUACAAGGUGUAAUCCCCCCCCCACCCCCACCGCCCCAUUGAAAGAAAAGGAGCUUUGAGAACAGAUUGUGUUACAAAACCAACUUCAGAAUGGCUCUGAGCAGGCCUCCCCCGCGGCCAUGUGCUCAGCCUUCUCCAUCAUUUUUGCUUUUUCCUUUGCCUUUUCUGAAGGAUCUGUGAGAAGGUCUCACACUGCCCAGCAGGAAGAUAAUGCGCAAAUAGCCAUGUAGGUAAUUGCAAAGUUCCUAAGAGCUACAUUUUUAGAAAGCAAAAAGAAGGCGAAAUUUCAAUAUAUAUUUUAUUUAACCUAAGGUAUCUAAAAUAUAAUCAUUUCAACCUGUGAUCAAUAUUUUAAGUGAUUACUGAGGUGUUUCAUAUGCUUUUGAGUACUGCAUCUGGAAAAUCUCAUGUGUGUUUUACACCCAGCAGCACACCUCACUGCAGACGGGCUCUGCUCUCCGUGCUCAGUAGCCACUGGGGGCCAGUGGCCACCAUCCCAGACAACACAAGUCCAAGGGCAGCGAGGAAAAUGCACUGAGCAAAGCCUGAACCUGGAAGCACUGAAAACAGUGAGAACCCAGAGCACCUCAGCAGCCUCAGGCAGGAGCCUACUCAGAAAACGCAAGAGAAGAGGAACUGUUGAAAUUGAGAAAUAAAAUGUUCUCAUUCUCCAUUUUCUGCUAUAGUGGUUGAAUUCCUAUAAGGAAAUUAUAAUCUAUAAGGAAAUUCUGUCCCUAAGGUAGUAACCUUCCAGCUAUGUGACUUUCCCUCCCAUGAGAAGUCCUGCCCAGCCAGCAAGAGCCGCCUUGGUGUUCAGCCAGCCCUGGACACUGUGGAGACGCAAGGGGAUUGCAGUGCGUGUGUGUGUGCGUGCUGCUGCAAGUGUGCAACUGUGUCAUGUGUAAGAGUGAGUACCUGUGAGUCUAUCACAUCUGUGGAUCGUGUGAAUCGCGUGUAAGUAUGUGUGAUUUGCAUGUGUGUGUGAGAUUGAUUCUGGGAAUUUGAGUGUGUAGGAAUGUGUGUGACACGUGUGCAAGUGAAUGCGUGUGUGAGAAGGGGGGAAAGGCCAGAGCAAGCCAAGGGUCACUGGCUCUAGCACUGGCCAGAACCACUGGGUAUCCUGGAGAGUUCUUUGUGCAGGGAAGAGAGGCCCAAUCUGUGCCCAGAGCUUCCAUGGAUCAUCAGCUCUGCCCCCCAAUGAUGCCCUCUACAUCCCCUCAGCAGACAGAUUUUGAACACCCACAAUUAGCCAGGCACUGUCCCCCCGCCCCUGGGGAGACAUCAGUGACCUGGACUAGCCAUCAGUGACCCAGGCUGGCAGAAACUCUCUAUGCAACUUCCUGGGAUUCCCCUCCCACAGCCACAUCUCCAAAAAGCCGGCCUCUGACUUGGAGCCCUGUCCCUAGCCUUCCGCAGCCUUACCUGCACGUGAGUGGCAGGAACUGGGGCCAGAGGAUGGAGGCAAGGUUGCCCAGGCACACAUGAGGAACCUUCUGCAGGGUCUGAUCUGUGACUUUCCAGAGUCUUCAAGCCACAUGGUACUAUUCUCCAGGGAGAAAACAAAAUGGUGUUUCAGUUCAAAGGUAUCCACAUACACAUAGAACCCCCCA